GUUCAGUAUUUGAUUUUCAACAUUGCAAUGAGUGGCGAACGGGUGAGUAACACGUGGGAAACCUACCUCUUAGCAGGGGGAUAACAUUUGGAAACAAAUGCUAAUACCGUAUAAUAAUUAAAACCGCAUGGUUUUAGUUUAAAAGAUGGUCUUGCUAUCACUAAGAGAUGGUCCCGCGGUGUAUUAGUUAGUUGGUGAGGUAAUGGCUCACCAAGACAAUGAUACAUAGCCGAGUUGAGAGACUGACCGGCCACAAUGGGACUGAGACACGGCCCAUACUCCUACGGGAGGCAGCAGUAGGGAAUCUUCCACAAUGGACGAAAGUCUGAUGGAGCAACGCCGCGUGUGUGAUGAAGGGUUUCGGCUCGUAAAACACUGUUGUAAGAGAAGAAUGACAUUGAGAGUAACUGUUCAAUGUGUGACGGUAUCUUACCAGAAAGGAACGGCUAAAUACGUG
rnacentral:rRNA from 1 species